AAGAAAUACAGAUAAGAUGGGUAAAAUCCUCAUUAGCAAAAGAAUCUUUUAAAACCUGUGAGAGCCUUAGAAUAGCCUCUAAUAAUCCCAAGAGAGGAGAAAGCACCCAGCCUUGCUGUGGGUGUACCUUUGGAAAACAGGCAGUAGACCAUCUCUUCAUUGGAGCCAGCUUCUCCUUCUCCAGAAAGGAUGCUUUUCCCCUACAUAAAGAGCAGCAAAAACAAAAAACAAAACAAAACAAAAAAAAAACGGGGAGGAGUUUUUUUACUUGUUUGAAGAAUUAUAAUAAACUAAUUUGAGUAUCUCCUGUGAGUAAUUCCUUUUUGUUUUUAAUUAUCCACAGCAUGUGGCGUUUUCAGUAAUCAAGUUUUGCAUAAGUGGUUCCUUCAAAUUAUUUAUUAAAUAGAAUCAAGGAAAUUUUUUGAAAGUUUUACUUUUCACGCUAAACAAUACUUUCAAUGUGUGGUAAUUACUAACAUCCAUAUCCCUCAUAUUACUGGGAUUUCUUUUGUUUAAAAAAAAAAGGUGUGUUUUUUUUUUAAUCUCUCAUCAAGAGGGUUUGUGGCAGCUUUUUGGACUGAUUCUUCACAUCAUGCUGAGCAAUUGCUUUGCCAUCCAAAGCUGUGAGGUCACAGAAUACCGCCUCACCUGUAGACGCCAGCGCCUGCUCUGCUCCUCACUCAGAAGGUAAAGCAGCCAGCCUGGAAAUGCCUAAUCUGUGCAUUCAGAAACCAAACUCAUACGCACAAGAUAUCAAGGAGGCAGAAAGUAAAUUCGUGUUUGCUUUGUAAUUUUUUUAAUGUCAAAACAGCCAACCAGAAAUUUCCAAAACUGGCUAUGCAAAUAUUUUACCUUUCUCAAGCUCUGCCAAGUUAAAAAAAAAGAAAGAAAGAAAGGCAAACUGAGAAUUAAAACGGUCCAUUUAUAGUAUCAAAGAAAAAAGGAAAACCUUCAAAACCAGGCAGGGUAAUUCCUAGGUAUUAUGAAAAACAGUGACCUGUUCUCACUUCUUGAAUUUCAAAGUCACCUCUGUACCACCCCCAUCUGACCUACGUGCCAUGACUAAGAGCCUGAGAUCCAGCCCCCGGCCCCCACCAGGCUCCCCUGACCCUUGCCAGGUGGAAGGCCACUGAUUUCUCAGUGGUCAAAGGCCACUACACGGGCCAGAGCACCUGGGGGUGCCAUUCCCAGCUGACACGAUGCCCCCUGGGUCCACAUCGUUUACAAAUAGCCGUUUCCUCUUAUGAGAGAUCUAGAGCCAUCCUUCCUCUAAACAGAAGUUAAAAAUGUGAGGGAACAUACUGCUAAUGGUACUGGUCCAGCCCCGCAAUGUUCACAAGAGCUCUUUAGCCCUGGUUCCUGGCCAGACACGUCUCAGACCAAAUUAGUUCAUCAGGCUAGAUGGCAACUAUUAGAAACUGCUGUGUUUUUCACAUGUGGGUCAAGAGGUCCCUUAAUGUCCUUUUGUGACUGGAGGCCCUUUGUGGAACAGGGAAAAGGAAGUCGAUUUGGGGUGCUGGAGAAGAGGAAGGCGGCCAAUCCCAACCCUAGAAAGGCUUCGAGCCCUGUCAGGGCAUAGGUCCUGGACUCGGGCUGCGCAGCUGACCCUGCCAGUGGGCCGCCUUCCUGUCCUGUCUGGUCUGGCCACACUUCCCUUUCUGGGAAGAUGAAUGUCCCUAAGUGACAGCACGUUUCCAGAAGAAUCCCAGAUACUUCUAAACCCCAGUGGAGGUUAUAUCAGUAAUUUACUUCACACUUCCUGCAUAUGCAUUACCUGGGUAUAUGAUUUUUUAAAAAUAAUAUAUUGUUAAAGGAAGGUGUUUUUAAGUGUCUUCUGUUUAUAGAUUUUAUGCUAUGUUACGUUGAUAUUUUACAAAGCCAAGUUCAAAUGUACUAUAGAAAUUAUUUUUAUAUUAUUUUCAGAAAAUGCCACAGAGCAAUAUUUUAUGCCCUGGUGUUGUCACAGGGUUGUCCCCUUGGAGGGCUAACUUUAGGUGGGAGGGGAGGGGCUCCACUGCAGGCUCUUGGGGGUUAAAUGCUUUCUGCUAUUUGUUCAAAUCCCCUCUGAAAGUGGAACUGUGUAAAUGUCUCUUCUUUUUCCAUUGAAAGCUCAAUUUGUUUUCUGUCCAUGGAUUUGGGUACUGCAUCUUUCCUCCUAAACAAAUACUUUCUAUUCACUAAGUUACUGUGGACUUUUUCUUACCUAUCACCACUCGGUGGCUCAAGUGGAGUUCAAGUUUGGAUCUGUUACUUUACAAACUUAAUGUUUUCCAAAGCGAUUUAAUUGAUGCAUUCUAGUAGGUUACUGUCAGGAAUUUAAUGACUCCAGAUAGCAGGGCUCUCCGUUCCCCCAGGAGACACGCCUGGGGGUGCGGAACAGCCCACCAUCUCUGGGGUGGGGCCGUGGCCACUUGGCUCUCACCUCUCCUUAUGUGUCCAUAAGCUUAUUUUGCAAACUACUCGACUUUGCAGAAAUAAACUUAACCAAUCAGCAUAGAUUUCACAUUAGUUAAGAAAAAAGGGCUGUACCCAUCAGUGGUGGGAAAUUUGUGUGAGGAAAAAAAAAAAAAAAAAAAGGCUUUGCCAAACCCAUGUGUGUAAGUUCCAUUCUCUGUGUCUUUCCUGUUUACUAAGAGAUGUGGAGUGACGCGCGUUUGGGAGGGUUUCUUUCUUUAUGACAUGAUUCCGUUUUCCUCCUUGUGGUGUGGAUUUUACAAAUUACAUUCCUCGGGUGUUUUUUUCUUUUUCUUUCUUCCAAUGCUUCUAAUAAAUAAGAAGAAAAUGUGUGUUGUGGCUCAGCGGGCCCUGCCUUGUCAGACCUCGGCCACUGUGGCAUUGCCUCUGUCCAGAGUCUGGUUCUGCUGUCACCUGAAGGCAGGAAGGUCCAAGAGUGGGCCCCAAGGUGGCUGGCACCCCUGGCACCAGGGAGCAGGCAACCUCUUCCAAAAAGCCUUAAAGUGGUGGCUCUCUGGAGACCACUGGGCCCCCCUUCCCUUUAGUCCUAACUAUAAACUCUUUUUCCUGUGAGAACUGGCCCAUUUUACUGUGGAACUCCAGGGUGGUGAGGGGUGCCCAGCUUCAUCCUUGUUUCAGGCACAUCCCCCGCAUCCCCAUGUCUACUUUAUGUGGACAUGGGGUCCUGAUGAUCCAGAGCAUGAUUCUGACAGUAGGUCUGCUGACACGGAGGUGGGUCCAGGGUGCUUCAUACCAGAGAGAUCCACAGGAGUCCCCCACACUCACCCCAGGAGACCGAGAGCCUGCAGGGAGUGCUUCCAGGAACCCCGCUUUGGAAGAGUUUCAGGACAGCUCCAAACGAUGUGCAAAAUGGUAUGUUAGCAGUUACACUGGUAACUUUGUUCCCCCAAACCAGUCCUUUCUCUGCCCUCCACCCCUGGCAGAGAAGAGACAGGGAGCUGCCCUGCCGGGACCCCAAGGGAAUAAGUGCAUGUACACUCUGUGUGAUAUCAAGACACUAUUUCUCCUGCCUCCCCACCCCCACCCCAACCCUGACCCUGGGCUGACUUAACUCACACAGAACUGCAGGAAUAACACAGAAACCAGAAUCUCCAAAUUAGAUUAAAAUGUUACUAUUUCCAUUUAUUUUGCAAAAUAAUGUGCUGAAAUUUUCACUUUCGCUGUUCAAUGCUUG
rnacentral:lncRNA from 1 species